ACGACCAUAGGGUGUGGAAAACAGGGCUUCCCGUCCGCUCAGCCGUACUUAAGCCACGCGCCGGCCGGUUAGUAGUUGGGUGGGUGACCACCAGCGAAUCCCGGCUGUUGUAUGUU
rnacentral:rRNA from 1 species